rnacentral:rRNA from 1 species
AGUGAACGCUGGCGGUAGGCCUAACACAUGCAAGUCGAACGGCAGCACAGUAAGAGCUUGCUCUUACGGGUGGCGAGUGGCGGACGGGUGAGGAAUACAUCGGAAUCUACUUUUUCGUGGGGGAUAACGUAGGGAAACUUACGCUAAUACCGCAUACGACCUACGGGUGAAGGCAGGGGAUCUUCGGACCUUGCGCGAUUGAAUGAGCCGAUGUCGGAUUAGCUAGUUGGCGGGGUAAAGGCCCACCAAGGCGACGAUCCGUAGCUGGUCUGAGAGGAUGAUCAGCCACACUGGAACUGAGACACGGUCCAGACUCCUACGGGAGGCAGCAGUGGGGAAUAUUGGACAAUGGGCGCAAGCCUGAUCCAGCCGUACCGCGUGGGUGAAGAAGGCCUUCGGGUUGUAAAGCCCUUUUGUUGGGAAAGAAAAGCAGCAGGUUAAUACCCCGCUGUUCUGACGGUACCCAAAGAAUAAGCACCGGCUAACUUCGUG